CUUUACUGUAGCUUGGAAUUGGGUUCGGGCUUUGCUUGCGCAGGAUAGGUGGGAGACUAUGAAGUUGCUCUUGUGGGAGUAAUGGAGUCAACGGUGAGAUACCACUCUGGUGAGGCUAGAAUUCUAACCUUCAGCCGUGAUCCGGCGGAGGAACAGUUUCAGGUGGGCAGUUUGACUGGGGCGGUCGCCUCCUAAAGUGUAACGGAGGCGCACAAAGGUUUCCUCAGGCUGGUUGGAAAUCAGCCGAAGAGUGUAAAAGCAGAAGGAAGCUUGACUGUGAGACUGACAAGUCAAACAGGGACGAAAGUCGGCUUUAGUGAUCCGACGGCACUGAGUGGAAGGGCCGUCGCUCAACGGAUAAAAGUUG
rnacentral:rRNA from 1 species